GCCUCUAUGGCACAGGGGUAAUGCGUGUCACUCGUAUGUAAUUGUGCUUGCGAGUUAAUGACAAGAUCCGCGGUUCGAUUCCGCGUGGAGGCA
rnacentral:tRNA from 1 species